rnacentral:misc_RNA from 1 species
AAAGUCGUAACAAGGUCUCCGUUGGUGAACCAGCGGAGGGAUCAUUACAGAGUUGCAAAACUCCCUAAACCAUCGCGAACGUUACCUUGAACCGUUGCUUCGGCGGGCGGCGCCCCUUUUCGCGGGGCGCCCCUGGGGCCCGUUUCACCGCGGGCUGCCCGCCGGAGGUAUACAACCAAAAACUCUUGAUAUUUCUUUGGCCACUCUGAGUCUUCUGUUACUGAAUUAAGUCAAAACUUUCAACAACGGAUCUCUUGGUUCUG